rnacentral:sRNA from 1 species
UUCUAGUUCUAAUACUCAAUCAUACACAUGACAUAU